CCGCCCUCCGACCCUCCCGGCCAUGAUUGUUAUAAGGGCGGCCCGCGGUCUAGACGGUCGCCGGUUAAACGGUCGUUUAUCAUUGGGAGAGCCGCUGUCAGCACUGAAUCCGUCAACCCGUCGGCGGUGUCGGUUGCCGCCGCAUUUGAUUUGUAUCCGGUUUGUCAAAGUGUGGUUAUACUGAAUAGGACCCUUCACCCCUAUCCGGGUAUCGUCAUCACUCCCAUCACUCCCAUCACUACCUUAUAUAUACCACUACCGUAAUAUCUUCACAUUUUUACCGCAGUGCUCUCACAUAUAGACCCAUCAGGAGUGCGUAAGCACAGUGCAGCGCUAAAGAUGAUCGAGAAAAUACAAAACUCUCCAAGUCUUCCAAUCUAUGAUGACGUAUGUAAAGCACCAAACAAAAAACUGAAAUCUAGAAAUCCUAUAUGGACGUUAAAAAAUAGUGCAAAUACAGAAGGAGACUUAUGGAAUACGCAUUGGAAAUAUGGAGCAGUUCUGAAUAAUCACCUCAUAAGUGAUCCAACCCAAUAUUAGUUCCAGGUUUCGAAUAUCCCAGUGCAGCAUGGACUGCCCUAAACCAUGUAAGAAUUGAGCAGGGAAGGUGCAAUUAUUUAAUGCACAAAUGGGGAAUGGUGGACUCUCCGCUCUGCACCUGUGGCCAGAUCCAAACUAUUAGGCACAUUGUUGAGGAAUGCCCGGAAACAAUGUCAGUGGAGGAACUACACAAAGGCGAUCAGGAAGCGCUAGAUUGGCUGCGUAAUAUUGCCCCUUACGCUAU